rnacentral:rRNA from 1 species
GGGAAGGCCAACAUGGCAAGUCGAGCGAGAAGCUGAUGACAGAUACUGUCGGUUGAAGGAGUCAGUGGAAAGCGGCGGCCUUAAGAGUAACGCGUAGGCAACCUGCCCUUUGCACAGGGACUUUCAAUGGAAACGAUGAUUAAAACCUGAUAACACCAUUUGGUUACAUGAGCAGAUGGUCAAAGAUUUAUCGGCCCAGGAUGGGCCUGCGUCUGAUUAGCUAGUUGGUAAGGUAACGGCUUACCAAGGCGACGAUCAGUAGCCGACCUGAGAGGGUGAACGGCCACAUUGGAACUGAGACACGGUCCAAACUCCUACGGGAGGCAGCAGUGGGGAAUAUUGCACAAUGGGCGAAAGCCUGAUGCAGCAACGCCGCGUGAAGGAAGAAGGCCUUCGGGUCGUAAACUUCUGUCCUUGGGGAAGAAUAACUGACGGUACCCAAGGAGGAAGCCCCGGCUAACUACGUGCCAGCAGCCGCGGUAAUACGUAGGGGGCAAGCGUUAUCCGGAAUUAUUGGGCGUAAAGAGUACGUAGGUGGCAACCUAAGCGCAGGGUUUAAGGCAAUGGCCUCACCAUUGUUCGCCCUGCGAACUGGGAUGCUUGAGUGCAGGAGAGGAAAGCGGAAUUCCUAGUGUAGCGGUGAAAUGCGUAGAUAUUUAGAAGAACACCCCUGGCGAAGGCGGCUUUUUGUGAUGUUAUUUGAAACUUGAAGUAUAAAACGCGUGUG